AGCGAACGCUGGCGGUAGGCCUAACACAUGCAAGUCGAACGGCAGCACAGUAAGAGCUUGCUCUUACGGGUGGCGAGUGGCGGACGAGUGAGGAAUACAUCGGAAUCUACUUUUUCGUGGGGGAUAACGUAGGGAAACUUACGCUAAUACCGCAUACGACCUACGGGUGAAAGCAGGGGAUCUUCGGACCUUGCGCGAUUGAAUGAGCCGAUGUCGGAUUAGCUAGUUGGCGGGGUAAAGGCCCACCAAGGCGACGAUCCGUAGCUGGUCUGAGAGGAUGAUCAGCCACACUGGAACUGAGACACGGUCCAGACUCCUACGGGAGGCAGCAGUGGGGAAUAUUGGACAAUGGGCGCAAGCCUGAUCCAGCCAUACCGCGUGGGUGAAGAAGGCCUUCGGGUUGUAAAGCCCUUUUGUUGGGAAAGAAAAGCAGCAGGUUAAUACCCCGCUGUUCUGACGGUACCCAAAGAAUAAGCACCGGCUAACUUCGUG
rnacentral:rRNA from 1 species